UUCAUUCAGGUAUUUUCAGGAGAACCAGUCUAGGUCAAGUAUAGUCGAUUGGCUAUUCUUGUUAUGGAGAGUUUUUAUUGGUAGGUCAUUGAGGUCAAAUUCCUUAGUGAGUUUUCCUUUGUUAUUUUAAAUUCACUUUGAAUCUAGCCAUAAGCCAGAGCGCUAGCUUAUUAUACUAUUGUCUGAUUUACAUAGUUUGAUAUAUUUCUGUGACUGGACAUUAGACCUGAUUACAGUAAGUUCUUUAUUUUCCUUUACUAACAUUUUGAAUGAAUGAGUAUGAAUGAAAUAUAGUAUUUGAUGAGUUAAUGAAAAUGUGUAAAAUCAUAUAGUAAAUGGUUUAAAUGAAUAGAUCUGUUUUUAAAGUUACACUGAUAUAAGAAAUAUGCUUUAUGAUGAGAUCUGACCUUAAGGAAUAUGUAAAUAUUGUAUAUAUUAUAAGAUUUAGUCAAUACAACCAUAUGUUGUAUAAUAUAGGUCAGAUAUAAUGGUUUGGACGUGACGCCCUGAUUUUUUAGAGGACAGCCUAGGUCCACAACUUGGGUUGUUUAUCCAUCUAUAUAUUUAUUGUCAUCAAUUAAAAGAACCCACAUCCCGAACUGAGUUUUCAUUUCAAUUACUUGGGAAAACCCGGUUACAAAAUUUGGCGCCCAACAAUGGUGUUUGAAUAUCCCGCCGGAAGAUGACGUCACAGCGCUUACCGGAAGAUGCCGGAAGUUACCCUUCUUUAUAAACAUUAGGCCUCAUGUCGCCUCAUACAGUGUUGUGAUUGUGUUAUAUAAUUCAUUGGACUGAAGUGGAUGGUUCCAUGGACAUACAAUGUAAGACUUCGCUACCAAACUACGUGUGAACAGGCAGUUGUACAGUUGUUGGUCAGAUAUAAUGGUUUGGACGUGACGCCCUGAUUUAUUAGAGGACAGCCUAGGUCCACAACUUGGGUUGUUUAUCCAUCUAUAUAUUUAUUGUCAUCAAUUAAAAGAACCCACAUCCCGAACUGAGUUUUCAUUUCAAUUACUUGGGAAAACCCGGUUACA